GGGAAUAGAGCAUAAAUAUGCGGUUAACUUGAAAUUAGCAGAUGGCAGUUUUAUUCUGUCUUUUCUCG
rnacentral:tRNA from 1 species